rnacentral:rRNA from 1 species
UGGGGGAUAUUGCACAAUGGAGGAAACUCUGAUGCAGCGACGCCGCGUGAGUGAAGAAGGCCUUCGGGUCGUAAAGCUCUGUCCUAGGGGAAGAUAAUGACGGUACCCUAGGAGGAAGCCCCGGCUAACUACGUGCCAGCAGCCGCGGUAAUACGUAGGGGGCGAGCGUUGUCCGGAAUUACUGGGCGUAAAGAGUUCGUAGGCGGUCUGAUAAGUCAGAUGUGAAAGGCGUAGGCUUAACCUACGUAAGCAUAUGAAACUGUCAGACUUGAGGUAAGGAGAGGAAAGUGGAAUUCCUAGUGUAGCGGUGAAAUGCGUAGAUAUUAGGAGGAAUACCAGUGGCGAAGGCGACUUUCUGGACUUAAACUGACGCUGAGGAACGAAAGCGUGGGGAGCAAACAG